UCCAGCGCCGCCAAAGUCUCGGCUGCCCGGGGAAUGCCGCUGCCCUCGGGGCAUGAGGCCGGUGUGUCUGACCGAGCAGCCCCAGCCCCAGCAGCUCUGCUUGGCUCUCACCCGGUGGAGGACUGGGUGGAGUUGCCGACUGAACCAGACUCUCAAAAGACAGAAAGCAAAAAUGAGAAAGAGAUUUUGUGUCUCCAGGGGUGGAAUAGCAAAACCAGAAGACUAGAAUUGAUGACAAAGAUUGUUAGACAUGGAAACACAUUCUUAUGAAGAUACAUCAAUACUAUACUUCAAAAUGGAAACAAAUAAGAGGAAAUUGAAUAAAUGCAUGCAGAAAAAUACUGAAAAGGUACUGAAAUAGAAUUGCCUUUUCUCACCAGAACUAAACAAGUAAAUAUUCAUUUAAUCGAAAGGUAACACAUUUAUAACUGACAAAAGGAAACAUAUUUUUCAACUGUGUAAAUGCACACUGUGAACUCAUUUCCAAAGAACGUCAUUCCUUCCAGAAACAGGAAGUUUGUGAGGGUAACAAGAAUAUCAGGUAACACAAGCAGAAACCAAAAUAUCUAACACAAUGCAUCAACUUUGUAUUUCAGGGAAUAUGCUGUUUUUAAGAAGCUGUAUGAUAAUGAGAGUUUUCAUAUGAGAGUAUACUCCAUUAUUUUCUACUGCAGGAUUUCCUGCUGUAAUGUAAAUCAAAUUGACAUUAAUCUCUAUUGGGCUAUUGGAAAUAAGCUAUUAGGGUAUAGACUGAUUAAGUAUAUGACUGCCUGGCCUCACUGUUAUUAUUUCCAAAAGGUUUUCCUAAGCACAAAAGAGAUAGCAUAUAAUAACCUGAAAUAGUCCUGUUCUCUGCAGUAUGUGCAUUGGAUAGAAAGUACAUUCAGAGGACUGCAAGUGCUAAAAUUUCACUGUCUACAGGAAACAAAUGUCAUAACCUUAAAAGGGCGCAUUUCAUCAUUUUUGAGGUAUUGUAUUUUUGUAUUGUUUCAUUCAGAAAGAGUUUUUCAAAAAAUCUAGUUCAUUUACAAUUUUGAAUUAUCAAAAGCCGUUGAAAAUGGAAAGUUAUAAGACUAACUCUCAAAUACCAAAGCCACAGAGUGCAGUACUUAUGAAAGAUAAUAUCCAGACUCACACCAGAACAGCAAAAAUAAUCAGACAUCAUCAUCCUCUAAAUGACUCGAAUAAGUUUGCAAUAGAAUUAGUAGAGUUAAAGAAACUUCCCCAGCACAUUAUUUAGUUGACAGUAAGACUUUGGUUGCAAAGCUAAGCCUGUUGUACCUGAAAUAUCAUAGAGUAGAUAUACCAGCAAUCUAAACAGGCAGGGCACUCUCUGACAAAUAGACCUUCCCACCAUUAUCUAAAACAAGGCAUAUCAUGGUAAAAAGGGGCUCUGAUUUGCCUACACACGGCUGUUUACCAACACAGCUGCUUUGGCCAUAAUUGACAUCUCCACAUUAUGGUGCUACAGUAAGAUCCUGAAUCAGGGAAUUAUAGAAUCAUUCAGGUUGGAAUGAUUACCUUAAGGUCAUUGAGUUGAACCACUGACCUGACUCUAUCAAAUCCAUUACUAAACCAUGUCACUUAGCAUCCACAUGUCUCUUAAAUAUUUCCAUGCAUGGUGAUUCCACCACCUCCCUGGGCAACACUUUGAGUGCCACAUAAAAGGGAUGAUCCCUUCACUGAUUCUGCUGGCCACACCAUUUCCACUGCAGGCCAGUAUUUCAUUGGCCUUCUCAGCCACCUAGGCAUGCUGCUGGCUCAUGUUCAGCUGGCUGUCAGCUGACACCCCCAGGUCCUUCUCUGCCAGGCAUCUUUCCAGCCACUCUUCUCCCAAGCCUAUACAGCUGCUUGGGGUUGUUGCGACCCAUAUGGCAGAUGCGACCACUGCUUUCUUUGGAGAACUAACUUUUUGCUAUGCUGUUGGUCCAAAUCAGAGGCAUACGGCUUCUGAUGAAUGUAGAGCUCACCACCACAUUCUCUUCUUGUUUGGAACAUUGUGAGAAUACUCCAGAAACAUUGCAGUUCAACAUUUCUUGUGCCAAUUGACAUCAGCAGUGGAUAACAAAGAAAGCUACUCUUUGUAGAGGAAGAAUCUCAAGGCACCUGCAUAUGACUCUCCUGGGGCCAAUUAUUCUGCAAAUAUUUCUCAGUGAUGCAGCGCGCAUAUAAGUUUUCACUAGACCAUGCAGGAAGGAGCUACAAUUUUUUAAUUAAGUCCUGCUUAAAUUCUGGUAGCUGUCAUUCUGCCUUUUAGAGCCAGGUGCUAGCCCAACCGUAACCAAACCUUCAAGCCAUCUAAGCAGAGAAAGAGCUAGGGGAAAAAAAGAAGUGUGAGAAUAAAAAGCUGUUCCAGUGGACAAGAAAGGUUACAGACUCAAAAAGAGACAGGGCAGCAGAGCAGAGCACCUCUCACCAUCCGUCAUUCCUGGAAUGUGCUUGGGCAAGCAAUGGGUGCUGCUCACAAGAUCUCUCCCAGUUGACAUGAGAAGAUGGGGGACUGGAAGCAAGUGAUAGAAUUCUCAGGGUCCCCUUGACUGUGCUUGUUUCUCCUGGUGUCUUGAAUGGCUACUUUGGAGAGGAGACUGAUGAAUAGUCCUGUGCUUACUGUCCCUUGUAUUACAAACAUCUCAGGUAAUCAUUAAUGAAAAUGUGGUUGAAAAGUAUGUAUUCUUUAAUCUUGGAGGGACUGAAAUGCUGUUCUGCAUCAAGAAGGCCUGCUUUUUUCUGUCAAAUGUGAAUUAAUGCAGAAUUUUGUUUACUUUUAACUUCUAUUCUUUCCUGACAUUUAAAGUGUUCCUUAUACGCUGUAGUAAUAAUGGGCUUCUGAUGUGAGAAAACAAAUUACAUGCUUCCUUUAUAAAGCA